rnacentral:rRNA from 1 species
GAUGAACGCUGGCGGCGUGCCUAAUACAUGCAAGUCGAGCGAACAGACGAGGAGCUUGCUCCGCUGACGUUAGCGGCGGACGUGUGAGUAACACGUGUAUAACCUACCUAUAAGACUGGUAUAACUUCGGGAAACCGGAGCUAAUACCGUAUAAGAUAUUGAACCGCAGGGGUGAAUGGUGAAAUACGGUUUUUCGGGCACGUAUAGAUGGUUCCGCGCCGCAUGAGCUGGUUGUGAAGUUAACGGGUUACCAAGGCAACGAUGCGUAGCCGACGUGAGAGGCUGAUCGGCCACACUAGAGCUGGGCCACGGUCAAGGCUACUACGGGAGGGCGCAGUAGCGAAUGUGCCGCAAUGGGCGAAAGCAUGACGGAGCAGGGCCGCGUGAGUGAUGACGGUCUUCGGAUCGUAAUACUCUGUUAUUAGGGAAGAACAAAUGUGUCCGGUACUAUGCACGUCUUGACGGUAACUAAUAAGAAAGCACCGGCUAACUACGUG